rnacentral:rRNA from 1 species
ACAUACGACCAUAGGAAGUGGAAUCUAGGGCUUCCCGUCCGCUCAGCCGUACUCAAACCGCUUGCCGGCAGGCUAGUAAUUGGGUGGGAGACCACCAGUGAAUCCCUGCUGUUGUAUGUC